UAACUAUAUGCUAUUUUGUGAAUGCAAUUUUUAUUCUCACAACGACUAUUGUUUAAAAGCAACUUAUAUGAAGUUUGAAUUUAUUGAAUGCUUAGCAUAUUUUCAGUAUGAAGGAGCAGCAUGACUAAAGAGUCUAUGCAGAUAUGGAUCCUGCUACAAUGAGCAUAGGUCCUGCUGUUGCAAUUCCACUUGCAGUGAAGUCACCACGUCUAGACUCUAGAGCUUCAUAACAUUGAUCUUUUUAAAUCAAAUGAGUAUCAGGAGCUUGCUGUGUCGCAACUUCACUUCAUGAGAUGAAGCGCCGUGGAUAAGAUAGUCACUUUGGGAUUGUUUUUAUGUGCAUAGAUAUUGUUUGAACACUUGAGCUGCCAAUCAAACUAAUAGUACCAAUGUUGCAUGUUCUGGUAUGGGAGUUGCGGCAGUGUUUGAAAGAGGAGAUUGAGUUGAUGGCCAAUGAGAUGCUCAUGAAGUUACACCUUAUGGUUAACAAUUUAAGAAUGCACUACAUCACAUGGAAUGCAACACUAGAAUGAGAAUUUGAGAUGAUUUACAAGACUAGAAUAAAAUUUUGUGAGUAGUUUUAGCGAAAUUGUUUCAGGUGUACAUCGUAUUAUUUUGCGGUGUCAAUGGUAUCCGCCGCGACGUGCGGGUACCAUGCUAGUAUAUUAUAAAGAAAAUAACCUCCUUGUUAAAAGUUACAUGAGGUGAAUUGUCUUAAUUGCCCUUAAUGGUUUAAUUAUACUAUGAGUCCUUAAUCUUUUAAAAUA